ensembl:lncRNA
GAGAUUGCUGCUUGCAUGCAGAAAGAAAGGUUCCUGAAUAAACUGCUUUGAGAAGAACUUCGUGGUGUCUCUCCUAUCUGCAGGACGGAGACGGAGACGACACCGGUGCCAUACAGACAGAAUCUCAAACUGUAGCUGAGAUUGGCUUGGCUUGGAACACGUGUGUAGUUCAUGCUGGCAUCAGACUUAUGGCAAUUCUCCGGCUUCAGCCUCCUACUCAGGAGCCUACCAGGAAGCUCAGCUUCUGAUAGAAGGCCUGUCAGCAGUGCUCCUUUGGUGACAUUGGCGCAGAGAUGAGACACC